rnacentral:tRNA from 1 species
AGGGGUGUGGCUCAGGGGUAGAGCACUUGCCUAGCAUGCAUGAGGCACUGAGUUCCAUCCCCAGCACCACAU